CCUACGGGCGACAGCAGUGGGGGAUAUUGCACAAUGGGGGGAACCCUGAUGCAGCGACGCCGCGUGGGUGAAGAAGCGCCUCGGCGCGUAAAGCCCUGUCAGCAGGGAAGAAAAUGACGGUACCUGAAGAAGAAGCCCCGGCUAACUACGUGCCAGCAGCCGCGGUAAUACGUAGGGGGCAAGCGUUCUCCGGAUUUACUGGGUGUCGAGGGGGCGCAGACGGCGAUGCAAGCCAGGAGUGAAAGCCCGGGGACCAACCCCGGGACUGCUCUUGGAACUGCGUGGCUGGAGUGCAGGAGGGGCAGGCGGAAUUCCUGGUGGAGCGGUGAAAGGCGUAGAUAUCAGGAGGAACACCGGUGGCGAAGGCGGCCUGCUGGACUGCAACUGACGUUGAGGCCCGAAAGCGUGGGGAGCAAACAGGAUUAGAUACCCCUGUAGUG
rnacentral:rRNA from 1 species